ACCAGCCUUCAGGGUAGGGUGCAAUUCCCGACCGGCGGUAAUGACGAACGCACGUCUGAGCCCGCGACUCGCUAUCGUAAGCAGUUGAUAGCGACUGACUUGGUGCAAAUCCAAGGCCGACGGUACAGUCCGGAUGGGAGAAGGUAUUU
rnacentral:ncRNA from 2 species